AGCAACGACGAGCUGCGGAGCGGAGAGAGACAAAUCAAAUCCCCGUUUUAUGGGUUAAAACUGCUAUUUUACAUCAUCCAGAGCGCAUUAAACCCGCCGUGUGGGAGCCGGAGCGCGAAAAAAGACUGAAAAAGACAGAUGAAUGGACGAUGUGAUGCCGCGCGCACCUCUGCUGUCUGCAUGGCCAGUGACGAGGAUGUUUUUGGCCACUCUGACUUUGUCCUCUGAGUUGCGAGCCCAGUCCACCAUCCCCCUCCACCCCUUCAUAGGGAAAGUGAUAUCCGCAUUUCCUGCGACGGGCCGCUUGUGAAUACUCAGCACUGAAAAAAAGUGCCAGAGGGAAUGGUGUCCUGGAAGUCCUUCAUGCGGAGACUGAUGACGUCCACAAAGUCCUCCACCAGACGAAACAGCUCCUUCACAUUAGGGCCCAGCUGCACAAGGAAACAGAAUGCUUAAUUUCACAGACUCAUAUCCCCAUUCAUAAUGUGAAUUAGUGGAUUUAUUUUUUAGAUGUUUUACCCAUAAAUAAAAAAAAUUCUAAAAAUGAAGAUACUCUUGCAGUUCUGCCAUAGCUUAAUGACAUCUUUCUUUUGGAACGUAAACUGAAGCUUGUAUUAAGGCAGAAAUUCAAACCUAACUAAUGAUCUAACUAAACAGCAGGAGACAGAGAGCUGAAAGAAAGAUGUGCAGCCAUGAGAAGAGAAUUAGCCAAUUAAUCACCUUUAAAAACCAGCUGAAACAAGCAUAAUUACUAAUUGAAAAAGAGUGAGGGAGACAGUGUGAACGUUAAAAAGACAAAGAGAAUAAGGGUGUGAGUGAAUGAAUGAAAGACUGAAUAAAUUAUUGAAUGAAGGAAUUAGGUGAGUCAACCAAUUUUCGUAAGUUAAUUAAUGUGUAAAUAAACGAAUGAUAAAGUCAGUGCAUAAAUAAUUUAAUGAAUAAAUUAUGGACUAAAUGAACUGAGAGUCAACACAUGAUUUAAUAAAUAAAUAAUUAAAUGUUGCGUAGGUUAAAAAUGAUUGAAUGAAUAAGUGAAAAUGAGUAUGAAUGAAUGAGUGAAUAUAUUACUUGCAUGACUACUCAGAAAGUACUUAACGGAACACGGCCACAUUUUGGAAAAGUAGCUUA